rnacentral:rRNA from 1 species
UACGUAGGGUGCGAGCGUUAAUCGGAAUUACUGGGCGUAAAGCGUGCGCAGGCGGUUUUGUAAGCCAGAUGUGAAAGCCCCGGGCUUAACCUGGGAAUGGCAUUUGGGACUGCAAGGCUUGAGUGCGGCAGAGGAGACUGGAAUUCCCGGUGUAGCAGUGAAAUGCGUAGAUAUCGGGAGGAAUACCGAUGGCGAAGGCAGGUCUCUGGGCUGACGCUGACGCUCAUGCACGAAAGCGUGGGGAGCAAACGGG